UCCCUGGUGGCUCAGAUGGUAAAGCGUCUGCCUACAAUGCGGGAGACCCGGGUUCGAUUCCUGGGUCGGGAA
rnacentral:tRNA from 1 species